rnacentral:ncRNA from 1 species
GGGUACCGCUUCCAAUUCCAUCACCGCGCUCGGUACAAGCGCGCAAUUGAGG